rnacentral:rRNA from 1 species
UACGCUGGCGGCACGCCUAACACAUGCAAGUCGAACGAAGUAGCAAUACUUAGUGGCAGACGGGUGAGUAACAUGUGGGUAUCUGCCCUUUGGCCUGGAAUAACACGAGGAAACUUGUGCUAAUACCGGAUAAGUCUUUACGGAGAAAGCUUUAUGCACCAUUGGAUGAGCCCGCACUUGAUUAGUUAGUUGGUGGGGUAAUGGCCUACCAAGACUGUGAUCAAUAGCUGAUUUGAGAGGAUGAUCAGCCACAUUGGGACUGAGACACGGCCCAAACUCCUACGGGAGGCAGCAGUGGGGAAUCUUGCACAAUGGAGGAAACUCUGAUGCAGCGAUGCCGCGUGAGUGAAGAAGGCCCUUGGGUUGUAAAGCUCUUUCGUCGGGGAAGAAAAUGACUGUACCCGAAU